rnacentral:rRNA from 1 species
GUUUGAUGUUCUAACGUGGAUCCGUAAUCCGGGUUGCGGACAGUGUCUGGUGGGUAGUUUGACUGGGGCGGUCUCCUCCUAAAGAGUAACGGAGGAGCACGAAGGUUGGCUAAUCCUGGUCGGACAUCAGGAGGUUAGUGCAAUGGCAUAAGCCAGCUUGACUGCGAGCGUGACGGCGCGAGCAGGUGCGAAAGCAGGUCAUAGUGAUCCGGUGGUUCUGAAUGGAAGGGCCAUCGCUCAACGGAUAAAAGGUACUCCGGGGAUAACAGGCUGAUACCGCCCAAGAGUUCAUAUCGACGGCGGUGUUUGGCACCUCGAUGUCGGCUCAUCACAUCCUGGGGCUGAAGUAGGUCCCAAGGGUAUGGCUGUUCGCCAUUUAAAGUGGUACGCGAGCUGGGUUUAGAACGUCGUGAGACAGUUCGGUCCCUAUCUGCCGUGGGCGCUGGAGAACUGAGGGGGGCUGCUCCUAGUACGAGAGGACCGGAGUGGACGCAUCACUGGUGUUCGGGUUGUCAUGCCAAUGGCACUGCCCGGUAGCUAAAUGCGGAAGAGAUAAGUGCUGAAAGCAUCUAAGCACGAAACUUGCCCCGAGAUGAGUUCUCCCUGAGACUUAGAGUCUCCUGAAGGAACGUUGAAGACGACGACGUUGAUAGGCCGGGUGUGUAAGCGCAGCGAUGCGUUGAGCUAACCGGUACUAAUGAACCGUGAGGCUUAACCUU